CGAGCGCAACCCUAUCUUAGUUGCCAUCAUUGAGUUAGGCACUCUAAAGAGACUGACCGGUGGUCAAACCGGAGGAAGGUGGGGAUGACGUCAAGUCCUCAUUGGCCUUUAUGACCAGGGCUACACACGUACUACAAUGGCCGGUACAAAGGGCAGCGACACAGCGAUGUGAAGCGAAUCCCGAAAAGCCGGUCUCAGUCCGGAUUGGAGUCUGCAACUCGACUCCAUGAAGUUGGAAUCGCUAGUAAUCGCGGAUCAGCACGCCGCGGUGAAUACGUUCCCGGGCCUU
rnacentral:rRNA from 1 species